rnacentral:lncRNA from 1 species
GGUGGCUAGUAUAUGGUGUGUCAUGAGCCUCGCUCAUUAUCUCAUCUUUGAGUUUCUCUUAGUGUGGGAUACACAAUCUUUCUUCAAUCAUUAACGCAGCAUCCGACGUCUAGUGGUAACGUCCAGGCUUGCCUAUUCCUAUUGAUAAAUGUAUUCUCUCCAAGGUCUCAUUCUUUUUUUUUUUUUUUUUUUUUCGCAUUAUCAGCUUUCCUAUAAAGUUGGGUGUUAUUACCAUCGUGGCAAUAAUCCUUUCUACAGAUUCUAGUGGUUGAACCACUUCUAAAUUCAUUCUACUAAAAUCUUUUCAUGGGUUCCUCUUCCUAAGUAAGGGGAGAUCCCAACUUAAGUUGAGUCUUACGACUCAAGGAGUCGUCUACCUUGUUAGCUUUGCCUGGGUGGUAG